ACGUAGGGGGCGAGCGUUGUCCGGAAUUACUGGGCGUAAAGCGCGCGUAGGUGGUUUUCUAAGACCGAUGUGAAAUCUCCGCGCUUACCGUGGAGAGGUCGUUGGUGACUGGGAGACUUGAGUUUGGCAGAGGUGAGUGGAAUUCCCGGUGGAGCGGUGAAAUGCGUAGAUAUCAAGAGGAACACCUGAGGUGAAGACGGGUUGCUGGGCUGAUACUGACGCUGAGGCGCGAAAGCUAGGGUAGCAAACGGGA
rnacentral:rRNA from 1 species